AAAAAUGUGCAAUAAAGUUUAUUGGGGGAAAAAAAGGCCCCCAGAAAAGCCUUUAGGUGAGGCAAGCCUCACCAGCAGGGGGCAGACGUGAGCUGACAGCUGCUUUGUAGCUACACUGGUGCCGCAGAAGAAGACUAAGAACGUCUUUCUCAUUUGAGAGGGAGAAACUCAUAAAAUAAAGGAAAAAAUCGGUGCACGGAUACAAAAAUGAUGUCCUGUCCACCGGUUAUUGAGCUCCUGAACCUGUGGCCUGCUCUGAAAAUAGAGUCAGAGGUGUAUGCAGAGUUUCAGGGGAUUA